UGGGGGAUAUUGCACAAUGGGGGAAACCCUGAUGCAGCGACGCCGCGUGGAGGAAGAAGGUUUUCGGAUUGUAAACUCCUGUCGUAAGGGACGAUAAUGACGGUACCUUACAAGAAAGCCACGGCUAACUACGUGCCAGCAGCCGCGGUAAAACGUAGGUGGCAAGCGUUGUCCGGAAUUACUGGGUGUAAAGGGAGCGCAGGCGGGCUGUCAAGUUGGAAGUGAAAUCUAUGGGCUCAACCCAUAAAUUGCUUUCAAAACUGAUGGUCUUGAGUAGUGCAGAGGUAGGCGGAAUUCCCGGUGUAGCGGUGGAAUGCGUAGAUAUCGGGAGGAACACCAGUGGCGAAGGCGGCCUACUGGGCACCAACUGACGCUGAGGCUCGAAAGCAUGGGUAGCAAACA
rnacentral:rRNA from 1 species